UACGGAGGGUGCAAGCGUUAUCCGGAUUCACUGGGGUUAAAGGGUGCGUAGGCGGAUAUGUAAGUCCGUGGUGAAAUCUCUGGGCUUAACCCGGAAACUGCCAUUGAUACUAUUUAUCUUGAAUUCUGUUGAGGUGGGCGGAAUACAUCAUGUAGCGGUGAAAUGCUUAGAUAUGAUGUAGAACACCGAUUGCGAAGGCAGCUCACUAAACAGACAUUGACGCUGAGGCACGAAAGCGUGGGGAUCAAACAGG
rnacentral:rRNA from 1 species